UUCAAUCUUUUGGAGGAUCUUCAG
rnacentral:piRNA from 1 species